AACGGGGCAGCANUUAUUUAAANUUUAUUUAGNUAGAUGGCGAGCGGCGCACGGGUGUAGUAACGCGUUACACAACCUGCCCUUGAGUGGGGUAUAGCCCAUGGGAAACUGGGAAUAAUACCGCAUAAUAUUACUGAAUCGCAUGGUUUGGUAAUUAAAGCUUCGGCGCUUAAGGAUGGGUGUGCGUUCCAUUAGCUAGUUGGUGAGGUAACGGCUCACCAAGGCGACGAUGGGUAGGGGGCGUGAGAGCGUGGUCCCCCACACGGGUACUGAGACACGGACCCGACUCCUACGGGAGGCAGCAGUAAGGAAUAUUGGACAAUGGGCGGAAGCCUGAUCCAGCCAUCCCGCGUGCAGGAUGAAUGCCCUAUGGGUUGUAAACUGCUUUUAUAAGGGAAGAAACCCCUGGACUUGUCUGGGGCUGACGGUACCUUAAGAAUAAGCACCGGCUAACUCCGUGCCAGCAGCCGCGGUAAUACGGAGGGUGCAAGCGUUAUCCGGAAUCACUGGGUUUAAAGGGUGCGUAGGCGGCCAAGUAAGUCAGAGGUGAAAUCCUACAGCUUAACUGUAGAACUGCCUUUGAAACUGUUUGGCUCGAAUAGAGUUGAGGUUAGCGGAAUGUGACAUGUAGCGGUGAAAUGCAUAGAUAUGUCAUAGAACACCAAAUU
rnacentral:rRNA from 1 species